rnacentral:rRNA from 1 species
UACAUGGGGUGCAAACGUUGCUCGGAAUUAUUGGGCGUAAAGCGCACGUAGGCGGUUUGUUAAGUCGGAUGUGAAAUCCCUCGGCUCAACUGAGGAAGUGCAUCCGAAACUGGCAGGCUUGAGUACUAAAGAGGGUCGCGGAAUUCCCGGUGUAGAGGUGAAAUUCGUAGAUAUCGGGAGGAACACCUGUGGCGAAGGCGGCCCCCUGGUUGGAUACUGACGCCGAUACGCGAAAGCGUGGGAGCAAACAGG